AUGUCAUCUUCCUCCUCUCCUCACGCCAUGGCCAUGCCCUCGCUUGCCUCCCUCGGCCACACCAUCACGGAGAAGCUUACCCGUGACAACUUCCUGAUAUGGAAGGUUCAAGUCCUUCCGCACGUCAGGGCCGCGGCGAUGACAGGCUACCUUGAUGGCACGAUCAAGGAGCCUGCUGCUGUCAUCGUCACCGAGAAGGAGACCAACGGCAAGAAGGAGAUCGUCGAGACGCCCAAUCCGGAGCAUGCGAUCUGGGUCACCCAAGAUCAACAGGUGCUCACGUUUUUGCUUGCGUCCCUGUCUCGUGAAGUCUUGAUGCAGGUGUCCAAUCACACCACGGCCGCGGGCGUCUGGCAGGCUCUGGUCGAGAGUUUCUCCGUGCAGUCCAGAGCACGACAGAUUCAACUCCGUUCGGCGAUCGGCAACGCCCGCAAGGGCGAUCUCUCCGCUUCUGCUUACUUCACGAAGAUGAAGGGACUUGCAGACGAGCUUGCUGCUGCAGGGAAGCCCCUCGAGGAGGAUGAUAUCGUCUCGCACAUCCUCGAGGGUCUUAUGCAUGAGCCCGACUACAACGGGUUCGUUACCUCCAUCUCCACGCGUGCUGCCACCGAUCGGCCGAUCGGUCUCAAUGAACUUUUCUCGCUGCUGCUCUCUGCUGAGGCCCGGAUCACCGCCCAGCAGGCCGCCUACACCGCUCACCACUCCGCCAACCUUGCUGCAAAAGGUGGGCGCGGUGGCUACGGCGGUGGACGCGGUGGUCAGGGUGGUGGACGCGGCGGCUACGGCGGCGGUAACUACCACGACAACUCAAACAACGGCGGUGGCGGCGGUACACCGCGCCAGAACAAUGGUGACCGCGGCGACCGCGGUGACCGUGAGCGGUGCCAAAUCUGCAAGGAGGAGGGCCAUGGUGCGUGGCGCUGCAGAAAGCGGUACGACAAGGGCUUCAACAACAACGUACGCAAUCCUGCAGGCGGUGGCGGUGGUGGACGCGGCAGUGGUGGGCGCGGCGGCGGCGGCGGUAAUGGAAACCAGCGCUCCGCCAACUCUGCUCACUCCUACGGCGUGGAUACCAACUGGUAUCUCGACACUGGCGCCACAGAUCAUGUUACCGGCGAGUUGGAGAAGCUAGCUGUGCGUGAUCGCUACACCGGCACGGACCAAAUCCAUACGGCAAGUGGGCAAGGCUACCCGGAGAACAAUUCUGCAAAACAAGAGUAG
rnacentral:rRNA from 1 species